GUUUUGGCACCUGUUCCCACUAACUUACUUUCGUGACUUGGAUUAUGACCUCCCCAUGUAAGGGAAGGCAGUAUAGUUACUGCCCCAUCCCCAUUCCUACCACUGAAAUAAAAUUCAUGUCUCCUACACUUCUAAACACUACUAGAUUCAAAUAGGCUGACAAUCUGCAACUCCACCUAAAGAUCUCUCAAAUCUUGCAGGUAUGCAUCCAUGGCAUAUGGAAGUUCCCAGGCUAGGGGUCAAAUCAGAACUGUAGCUGCCAGCCUAUACCACAGCCACAGCCACAGCAGCAGCCACAGUAAUGUGGGGUCCAAGCUGUGUCUUCAACCUGCACCACAGCUCGUGGCAACACCAGAUCUUUAACCCACUGAUCGAGGCCAGAGAUGGAAACCACGUCCUCAUGGAUACUAGUUGGGUUCAUUUCCACUGAGCCAAAAUGAAAACUCCACAAUUUUUUGAGUUAAGAUUCCUAUUAUUAAGGAGGAUGUUAAGAGAAGGUAUUUUCAUGCAUUGUUUUGACAAUAGGAUUGUUAACAUCAAUUUGAAAGGAACCUGGUCCCACCUAUGAAGAUACGGUACACAUACCCUUUAAAUCAGCAACCCAGUUCUGAGAAUCCUUCUCCUAGGAAGAGAGAAACCAUCUAUAAGAACAUAUAGUCUAUAGGUAGCUGUGUUUGAAUAUGUAUUUUAUGUAUGUAUAUGCAAUAUGCAAUAAAAAUAUAUAUGUAUGUUCACUUGAGAGGAGGAAAAAUAAAACAUUUGUGUUUUUUCAACACUGGAAAAUUAGGUAAAUUAUUAUAUAUCAUAUUUUGAAAUGGUGUAUAGUCAUUAGAAAGAUAUAGUAGAGCUGUAGCAUUUGACUCAGAGGGUUUUCCAUGAAUAUUACUAAGCAAGAAAAGCAACAGAGAAAAGACUGCAUAAUAUAAUAUUAUGGAUCCACUUUUCUUGAUUUUCUUUGAUAAAAUGUGUGCCACUAAAUACCAUUCUUCUCUUGGUUGCUCAAGUUGGUCCUCCUUGUUACCCUUAUGGGUCUCCUGUUAUUAAUGACACUUCCAAUCUAAGGCAGAUGCCAUUCAAACAGGCUAUCAGUUGUCUUUACUUUUCUAAGUGUGGUGGUGAUUAAAUUGUGGAUUUUUUUGUUUGAUUUUAAUUCCCUGGAUAUGGAGAAGUUGAUGCUUCAUUUUGAUAACCUGUAUUCUUUAUUUCUUAAUUAUCACCCUUGAAAACAUUUAAUGAAUAGAUUGUUCACUUAAUUUUCCCUUUACAAAUGAAUUAGCAUUCUUUAUUCUUCUUUUUAAAUGAUCUUAAAAUGGCAUUUUUGUGUCAAAGCAAUUUUAGAAAAAUCACAAUAGGAAAAAUAAUAAGAAAGUGUCUCAAUAACACGGAAAUAUUUUCUCUUAUAGAUGUGUUUCUAGCUAUGAGUUCACAGAUCGUUAGUUUUGCAAUCAUGAUUUUUCACUGGAAAAGGAAAAAGUUUCUAUUUUUUUCUUUAACAAGCAUGGGAAAAGUAAUUGUAUAAUUUUUCAACAACAUUGAAAUGAUAUGUGUGCUACUCAAAAUAUAGCCUCAUAUCAUUCAUUAGCUCAUCUACCCACUAGAUUUACCACACCUUUACAAUCAUAUGUGCAUGAAAUAAUGUAAUAAAUUUGUAGGAGUUCCCAUUGUGGUGCAGCAGAAAUGAAUCCAACUAGGAACCACGAGGUUGUGGGUUCCAUCCCUAGCCUUGCUCAGUGGGUAAAGGAUCUGGCAUUGCCAUGAGCUGUGGUGUAGGUCGCAGACAUGGCUUGAAUCUGGCGUUGCUGUGGCUCUGGCGUAGGCUGGCAGCAGCAGCUCCGAUUAGACCCCUAGCCUGGGAACCUCCAUAUGCCAUGGCCCUAAAAAGACAAAAGACUAAAUAAAUAAAUAAAUAAAUAAAUAAAUAAAUUUGUAUAUGACUUGCAGCCACGGCAUUUGUGAAUUUAAGAUGUUUAUUGGCUUUAGGUUUGUAGGUAUCAUUCAUUCAUUCACUCAUUCAUUCAACAGAUGUUAGGCUGCACUGCAUUAGUUGAAAACUAUGCAAUAGUAAAUAAGAAAAGUGGUGUAUUCUUUAAUGCCAUGUAGCUCACAAUAUAGAGGAGGAAUUUUAUGAAAGACACAUACAAAUAAUUAAGCUAGGACCAAUGUCAUAAGUGCUGUUGAGGAGCUAUAUCUCUUGCUAUAAGUCUUUACAACAUAUGAAAGAGACUCAGGAUGAUGGGAAUAAGGUAACUUGAGGAAGUGAGGAGUGAGCUAGAGCUGAAGGCAGAGCAGGAGUGAACCUAGUGAAAGACUAUGGGAGUGUUCCAGAAUGGGGACACAACCUGUACAAAAGCUGGGGCAAGAAGGAGCAUGACGUGUUGAAGGCACAGAUGAGAGCUGUGCACACAAGCACUGAAGGGGCACUAGGAAGUGGUGAAGCUAUAGGGGCCACAAGGGCAAGAUCAGGGCUUCUGAACUGUCUGCCUUCAGAAUAACUUGGGAAGCUUGGAGCAGCCCCAGACCCUUCAAAGAUACCCUUCAUGGACCCAAGCAGGGCCCAUGCAGUGCUACAAAGAUCCUGAGGGAUUCUCAUGUCAGGCAGUGUUCAGAGAUGCUUGACCAGGCCAGGCAGUGCCUUAGACUAUGUUAGGAAUUAAGAUAUUUCUCUAAAAGUGAUGCAUUUUAAUUGGAGGACAACAAGCUCAGAUUUGAGGGUUGAGAAUACCAUUUAAGCUGCUAUGUAGAGAAUACGUUGUUGGGUUGUGGCAUAGUGGAUUCAUACACAGGUAGCUGCAUAGGUAGUCUAGCAACAGGUCUCAAGUGAAGGGACUGGUGGAGAUGGCUGGAAUAUUGAAAAAAUAAAAUAAAAUGAAAGAUAUUGCUUCAU
rnacentral:lncRNA from 1 species